UAGGGAAUCUUCCACAAUGGGCGCAAGCCUGAUGGAGCAACACCGCGUGAGUGAAGAAGGGUUUCGGCUCGUAAAACUCUGUUGUUGAAGAAGAACGUGCGUGAGAGUAACUGUUCACGCAGUGACGGUAUCCAACCAGAAAGUCACGGCUAACUACGUGCCUG
rnacentral:rRNA from 1 species